CGUGGGUAAUUUGCCGUAAAGUCUGGGAUAACUUGCUGAAAGGCGAGCUAAUACCGGAUGUGAUUGCUGGAGGGCAUCCUCUGGCACUUAAAGUCGGGGACCGUAAGGCCUGACGCUUUUCGAUAAGCCCGCGGCCUAUCAGCUAGUUGGUGAGGUAACGGCUCACCAAGGCUAAGACGGGUAGCUGGUCUGAGAGGACGACCAGCCUCACUGGAACUGAGACACGGUCCAGACACCUACGGGUGGCAGCAGUCGAGAAUUUUUCUCAAUGGGGGAAACCCUGAAGGAGCGACGCCGCGUGGGGGAUGAAUGGCUUCGGCCCGUAAACCCCUGUCAUUUGCGAUCAAACCUUACGACCUAACACGUUGUAAGCUGAUAGUAGCGAAAGAGGAAGGGACGGCUAACUCUGUGCCAGCAGCCGCGGUAAUACAGAGGUCCCAAGCGUUGUUCGGAUUCACUGGGCGUAAAGGGUGCGUAGGCGGUCGGGUAAGUCUGACGUGAAAUCUUCAAGCUCAACUUGGAAACUGCGUCGGAUACUAUUCGGCUAGAGGAAUGGAGGGGAGACUGGAAUACUUGGUGUAGCAGUGAAAUGCGUAGAUAUCAAGUGGAACACCAGGGGCGAAGGCGAGUCUCUGGACAUUUCCUGACGCUGAGGCACGAAAGCCAGGGGAGCAAACGGGAUUAGAUACCCCGGUAGUCCUGGCCCUAAACGGUGCACGUUUGCUGUAAGAGGAAUCGACCCCUUUUGUGGCGAAGCUAACGCGUUAAACGUGCCGCCUGGGAAGUACGGCCGCAAGGUUAAAACUCAAAGAAAUUGACGGGGGCCUGCACAAGCGGUGGAGUAUGUGGCUUAAUUCGAUGCAACGCGAAGAACCUUACCUGGCCUUGACAUGCA
rnacentral:rRNA from 1 species